rnacentral:rRNA from 1 species
UACGUAGGGUGCGAGCGUUGUCCGGAAUUAUUGGGCGUAAAGAGCUUGUAGGCGGUUUGUCGCGUCUGCUGUGAAAAUCCGGGGCUCAACCCCGGACUUGCAGUGGGUACGGGCAGACUAGAGUGUGGUAGAGGCAGAUGGAAUUCCUGGUGUAGCGGUGAAAUGCGUAGAGAUCAGGAGGAACACCCGUGGCGAAGGCGGUCUGCUGGGCCACACCUGACGCUAAGGAGCGAAAGCUAGGGGAGCGAACGGG